UACGAAGGGGGCUAGCGUUGUUCGGAAUCACUGGGCGUAAAGCGCACGCAGGCGGAUCGAUAAGUCGGGGGUGAAAGCCCGGGGCUCAACCUCGGAAUUGCCUUCGAUACUGUCGGUCUCGAGUCCGGGAGAGGUGAGUGGAAUUCCUAGUGUAGAGGUGAAAUUCGUAGAGAUUAGGAAGAACACCAGUGGCGAAGGCGGCUCACUGGCCCGGUACUGACGAUCAGGUGCGAAAGAGUGGGGAGCAAACAGG
rnacentral:rRNA from 1 species